UGUUUUGUUAUAGAAUGAGAGGCGGCUAAAGAACUCAUGGCAUCCUUCUGCUGCCUAUCUACAGCAUCUACAUCUAAAACCCUAGCUAUUGCCCCUCCAUUUAGACCCUUCUCGUCAGCUUCAAUGAGCCAAAGUUGCAGUUGCUCUCUUGUAUCGAUGCCUAUGUUCGGUUCCAAUGGCCUGAAUUUGAAUAGUCGGAGGGCGUGGAGGCAGGUGGUGAGAAUGGCACCUGAGGAGGAGAAAUUGACUCGCCGCAACCCUCUCGAUUUCCCUAUCGAGUGGGAGAGGCCCAAACCUGGUCGUAGACCUGAUAUAUUUCCGCAGUUUAGCCCUAUGAAAACACCUUUACCGCCUCCAUUGCCAUGUGAUCCUCCGGAAGAAGAUGAAGAAGAGGAAGAGAAAAAAGAGGAAGAGGAAGAAGAAGAAGAAGAUCCUGAGAAGGAAGAAACAGAGAAGCCUGAUAAUCAAUAGUAGUAUUCUUUUGAUGGCAGAGCUGGGUAUUGUAGCCAAUAAGCAUGAGUUUUCUAGUGUAAGGACGGGUAGCUCUGACUGUUGGCUGAAGAUCUGCAGCGACACAACACAAAUGCCCAAGUGCCCUCUCUUCUUCUCAAGACAAAAACUCCAUUUUCAACAUCUUUCUCGGUCUUCUUCACCUAAUUCACCAAAACCAUGGUUGUUUCUGACGCCUUUGAUGUUCCGAGCAUUGGUGAGGCUUCUAACGUCCCUGGUAAGUCAGCCUGCUGCCGCUGUCACAACGCUGCUCUACUACAGCGAGCUGCUACCUCAGAAUAGUCAGCUGGAGAGACACGAAUUACUCGACCGAGAAAAUUACCUUCUCCACUUUCUCAUCAGUUUUUUGAGAUGUUUCUGGUAGAAGUCUUCAUUUCCUUUCCAAGGUUUCAACUGAUGUAUCAGCUUUACAAUCAUGCAUACAGCCAUUUCUGACUUUAACUUGGUAAGGUAAACUGACUAGAGAUGGGCAAUUUCUGAAUUUUUUUUUCUAGGCUAUUCGUAGAUUGACAAUUUUUGUGAUUGUAAUUCUGUCCUUAAUUGAACUGAUUAUAAUGAACAAUGAAUUGAAUUCGAACAUUUCAACGAA